GAGAGAGCAAGAUGGAUGCCCCGUCGUUCUACGGCGCGCCAAGUAUCCGUAAUCAUGCCCGAACAAGGCCAAGGGCUAUAAACUCGGCGGUUGAUCAGCUUUUUCAAGCUAUCAUGAAUGAAGACUUAUCAGACGCUUAGCUUUCGGACGAUGAAGUCGCCAAUGCACAAUUUGUUGAAACGGAAACUGCAUCGGACGAGGAGCAAGGCCCUACAUUGCAUCCGGCAGAAUCUGAGACUCGUCACAGUGACAGCAAUGAGCCGCCACAGAAAAAAGUAAAGCAAGUCAAGUGGCUCGCAAAGGAUUUCGAUCCAGGGGAUACGCGCUGCACUACCAGCCGCUUGGCGGGUCCGCGCCAGUGGAACCGCUAGAAAAUUUCACGAAGUACUUCACCGAAAACGUGUUUGAGGACUUAACAAAGUCCGCAAAUAUCUAUGCCUUGCAGAACACAGCAACAGAGCUUCCGUUCUCUGUUAAAGAGAUGAAGGUGUU